CCUACGGGAGGCUGCAGUCGGGAAUAUUGCGCAAUGGAGGAAACUCUGACGCAGUGACGCCGCGUAUAGGAAGAAGGUUUUCGGAUUGUAAACUAUUGUCGUUAGGGAAGAUAAAAGACUGUACCUAAGGAGGAAGCCCCGGCUAACUAUGUGCCAGCAGCCGCGGUAAUACAUAGGGGGCAAGCGUUAUCCGGAAUUAUUGGGUGUAAAGGGUGCGUAGACGGAAGAACAAGUUGGUUGUGAAAUCCCUCGGCUCAACUGAGGAACUGCAACCAAAACUAUUCUCCUUGAGUGUCGGAGAGGAAAGUGGAAUUCCUAGUGUAGCGGUGAAAUGCGUAGAUAUUAGGAGGAACACCAGUGGCGAAGGCGACUUUCUGGACGAUAACUGACGUUGAGGCACGAAAGUGUGGGGAGCAAACAGGAUUAGAUACCCCGGUAGUC
rnacentral:rRNA from 1 species